GGCGGUGAUGGAGCUAUGGUACGCUCUGGGGUCUCAUAAGCCUUCACAUACCGGGUUCAAAUCCCGGCUCCGCUACCA
rnacentral:tRNA from 1 species